rnacentral:tRNA from 1 species
GGGACCCUAAUUUAAAAGGUAAAAUAUAUGUAUUGCAAACAUAUUUUAUAGGUUCAAUUCCUAUGGGUUCCA